GGCAGAGUGGUGCAGUGGAAAGGGCAUUGGACUGGAAAUCUGGGGACCUGGAUUCAAAUCCCAUCUUUGUUA
rnacentral:tRNA from 1 species